UGGAAUUUUAGGCUAAGGAACUGGGCUUUACAAUAGCAGAUGCCAGGGCUAUUUGGAGCAGACCUGAGGGUGUGGUUACGUGAAUGAAUGGCAAAGUCAACGUGCUUUGAAAGAGGAGGUCAGAGCACUUACAACGGCGCCAGCCUCCUUGGUGUGGCGGCUCCUCCAGCAGGCGCCAACUUCCACACACGCCUAUGGUCGGCCACCGCAGUGAAGAGACACAGAAGCUGAGGGUGGGCCAUGCACACAUGAGAUGGCCCUUCCGAGCCGGUCAAGGACAGCGUGAAAGCAGCCAAGCCAGCCGGCAGAACCUGUAAAACAGACCCAAUCCUGGACAGGUUCCCCAGAUGCAUGUACCCUCUCCACCCUGGAAAUACAGCGUUGAGAACUGAAGCUGUCCUUGGAGCAAUGAGGAUCAACUCAGAGUGCAGGAAUCCAUGGUUCUGGGAGCCUCAAGCAGAGAUCCUGCUUACUCCUGCUCCUACAUGCUUCCACACCACCCUGCAAAUCUGGAGUCCCAGGCAGCCCAUCUUCGCUUGGGACAAACCUGCUGGGAAAAGUUGCCUUCUGCCCAGCUGAAAUGUCUCUGAUCCCCCCACAGCCACAGCUUCCCAGGAAGCCCUUCAGACACAGCACCACUGGCCACACACCCUGGUUCUUCCUGCAGAUCAGCCAGAGAGAGCCCUUUGGUCCCUGGGUGCCUUCUUUCCCUCCUGCGUGGGGAGAGGAGUGUACAAGCAGUCAAUGUUUCCAUCCUUCUGUGGAUGCGCACAGAACAAGAUUUGAACCAUGGUCAAAGUUCUUCUGUUU